UAGGGAAUAUUGGGCAAUGGGCGAAAGCCUGACCCAGCAACGCCGCGUGAAGGAAGAAGGUCUUCGGAUUGUAAACUUCUGUUGUGAGGGAAAAAGAAAGUGAUGGUACCUCACGAGGAAGCUACGGCAAACUAUGUGCCAGCAGCCGCGGUAAUACAUAGGUAGCGAGCGUUAUCCGGAAUAACUGGGCGUAAAGGGAGUGUAGGUGGCCGAAUAAGUUAGAUGUGAAAGACCGUAGCUUAACUACGGAAAUGCAUUUAAUACUGUUUGGCUAGAGUGCAAGAGAGGUAAACGGAAUUUCUAGUGUAGCGGUAGAAUGCGUAGAGAUUAGGAAGAACACCAGAGGCGAAAGCGGUUUACUAGAUUGCAACUGACACUGAGGCUCGAAAGCGUGGGGAGCAAACAGG
rnacentral:rRNA from 1 species